AAAACCAGCAAAACACUGAAGGAAACCACAGAGUUUCAGCUAUGCCUAGAAGAAGAUCAUCAGGAGCCCUCACUGAAGAUGAUAUCAAUGAGCUCAUUUUCAAACUACAAGCACUGCUGCCCCAGCUUAAUCAAAGGCAGGCCUCCAGGACAUUUUCGACAUUAGACAAAAAGCAUGCAACGCAAGCUCCUGACUGAGGCAUCAGCAUCCAGAGUUUUGAAGGAAACAUGCAGAUACAUCAGGAAGCUACGAACUGAGGUGGAUGGGUUGAGUGAAAGACUAUCACAGUUGCUGGACUCCAUGGACAUCUCUAAUAUUGAUAUAGAAUCCCUCGUUAUAAGUAUUCUACAACAAUGAUACGCACCCGUUUUACUAAAUACUUCCACCCUCAUAUGUAUGGAAUUAAUAAUUAUGAAGCUAUUUUCCUGUAUUAAUUAGUUUCUCUAAUAUAUGCUUAAUUUGAUGGGCA